rnacentral:rRNA from 1 species
UACGUAGGGUGCGAGCGUUAAUCGGAAUUACUGGGCGUAAAGCGUGCGCAGGCGGUUCUCCAAGUCCGCUGUGAAAGCCCCGGGCUCAACCUGGGAAUGGCAGUGGAAACUAGGGGACUGGAAUCUGGCAGAGGGGGGUGGAAUGCCGCGUGUAGCAGUGAAAUGCGUAGAGAUGCGGCGGAACACCGAUGGCGAAGGCAGCCCCCUGGGCUGAGAUUGACGCUCAGGCACGAAAGCGUGGGGAGCAAACAGG